ACGUGCACCCGUCUGCACUGUGUUGUUUGUACAUGCGCGAAGGGUCAAGCCUCGAGGAACUGUCAAGAGUGAAUGUCACAAACGGUAGACGAUAGUGCAAUAUAGCGAUACAGAGUAUUGAUCUCCAUGAGGAACUGCUCGUUAAGAAGAUUGUCUAAUUGUCUCGAUGAAAUGGACUGAGUCCCGGAUGACCGACGACUUUUACCUCUCGCCCUUUAGGAAGAUUCACUGCUCGGAGCAUGCAUUGAAUAAUAUUUUAUUGUGGAGCACUGAUCCCAAUCACAUUUGAGAGCGUGAACAUCAUGCGAAGGAUGCCUACUGAUAUUUUUCUAGGAAACAGUGGUACCCUUCAUCGAUCUUUGAUGUUUAUAUUGAAGCUCGGCUGGCAGUCCAGAUUCCGUUUGCCUGUGCUUCUCGUCAUUGUCUUCGUCGCCAUGGAUUACAGACUGCAAUUAGAGAUUGAAUUUGGAGACAACGCGGACCAACAUGAUGAUCUGUGAUUGAAAUGGAUGAGAUUGGAUAGAUAUAAUAUUGUUUAUUUAUUUAAUGUAUAUACAUGUUGUUGUCUAUCCAAUAUAUACAUGUAGUGAAUGCAUGGGAUGUUCAAGCAAAAUAGAAACGCCGACUGUCUUUGAUUAGAAUGUUUGGAAUGUUAACUAUUGAUUGAUAGUAAUUAUUAUACAGCUUCAAAAAUGUGAUUUUAAUCAUAAUUUUGUGCUCAGUACUUGAAGAUUAUUAAUGUUUGGACUUGUCAGGUUGACAGAAGCAUUUGACAUAUGUAAUUAAUUUUAGAAUUUUAUAAUACAUUUAUCUCAUAUC